rnacentral:misc_RNA from 1 species
GGAAGUAAAAAUCGUAACAAGGUUUCCGUAGGUGAACCUGCGGAAGGAUCAUUAAUGAGUUGUCAUGGGGUUCGAUGCUGGCAGCCAGUUUUUGGAUGCAUGUGCUUGCCCUAACAAUCAUCUUCUUCCAAACACCUGUGCACAUUUUUGAGGGAGUCUUGAGUUGGUUGCCGCUCUUGGGUGAUUUUCUCACAUUCCCUUAAAUCAUUAUACGCUAUUAACAAUGUUGAACGUGCUCUGUGCCGCAAGGCCAUUAAUAUAAUACAACUUUUAACAACGGAUCUCUUGGCUCUC